rnacentral:rRNA from 1 species
GAUUCUGGCUCAGGACAAACGCUGGCGGCGUGCCUAACACAUGCAAGUCGAACGAAGCACUGUGGAAAGAGACUCGGUCAAUUGAAACUUUGACUUAGUGGCGGACGGGUGAGUAAUGCAUGAGCAACCUGCCCUGGAGAGGGGGACAACAGCUGGAAACGGCUGCUAAUACCGCAUGAUGUCGUCGGGGGGCAUCCCUUGACGACCAAAGAUUUAUCGCUCUGGGAUGGGCUCAUGUCUGAUUAGAUAGUUGGCGGGGUAACGGCCCACCAAGUCUGCGAUCAGUAGCCGGACUGAGAGGUUGAACGGCCACAUUGGGACUGAGAUACGGCCCAGACUCCUACGGGAGGCAGCAGUGGGGAAUAUUGGGCAAUGGGCGCAAGCCUGACCCAGCAACGCCGCGUGAAGGAAGAAGGCUUUCGGGUUGUAAACUUCUUUUAUCAGGGACGAAGAAAGUGACGGUACCUGAUGAAUAAGCCACGGCUAACUACGUGCCAGCCGCAGC